GCAGACGACCGUACAAAUUUUGUUGACAAAUUUGUGGUGAAACAAAGUGAAGAGACCUUCACAAAGUUGCUGUUUUUUCAACUUUGAUAGCCUACAUUAGACAGCAUGGCUGAAUAUAUUCACCAUCUCCGCCAGCUUGAUCGGAACAGAGAGUUGAUAGGCAGACCUCAGAGAGGCCUUCGUGACCCAUGAACCCUUUUGAAGUGUAUGAUGAUAAGUCAUUUCGGACCAGGUACUGGUUUUCCAAAGAGACAGCGCUCUACCUCAUCAACUUGGUGGAUGAAGAGCUGAGGAGGACGACAGACAGAAACGACCCAAUACCUAUACAGGGUCAUUCCAAAAGAUGCAUGGUGAUGAGGCACAACUUUCACAGUCUUCUGUAUGCAGAGUCAUCAAAGACGUGUCAGAAGC
rnacentral:lncRNA from 1 species